GAUGAACGCUGGCGGCGUGCCUAAUACAUGCAAGUCGAGCGAACAGACGAGGAGCUUGCUCCUCUGACGUUAGCGGCGGACGGGUGAGUAACACGUGGAUAACCCACCUAUAAGACGGGGAUAACUUCGGGAAACCGGAGCUAAUACCGGAUAAGAUAUUGAACCGCAUGGUUGAAUAGUGAAAGUCGGUUUUGCUGGCAGUUAUAGAUGGUUCCGCGCCGCAUUAGCGGGUUGGUAAGGUAACGGCUUACCAAGGCAACGAUGCGUAGCCGAGCGGAGAGGGUGAUCGGCCACACUGGAACUGGGCCACGGUCCAGACUCCUACGGGAGGCACCAGUAGGCAAUCUUCCGCAAUGGGCGGAAGCCUGACGGAGCGACGCCGCGUGUGUGAUGAAGGUCUUCGGAUCGUAAAGCUCUGUUAUUAGGGAAGAACAAAUGUGUAAGUAACUAUGCACGUCUUGACGGUAACUAAUCAGAAAGCCACGGCUAACUACGUG
rnacentral:rRNA from 1 species